GACGAACGCUGGCGGCGUGCUUAACACAUGCAAGUCGAACGCUGAAGCCCAGCUUGCUGGGUGGAUGAGUGGCGAACGGGUGAGUAACACGUGAGUAACCUGCCCCCUUCUUUGGGAUAACGCCCGGAAACGGGUGCUAAUACUGGAUAUUCACUGGCUUUCGCAUGGGGGUUGGUGGAAAGGUUUUUUCUGAUGGGGGAUGGGCUCGCGGCCUAUCAGCUUGUUGGUGGGGUGAUGGCCUACCAAGGCUUUGACGGGUAGCCGGCCUGAGAGGGUGACCGGUCACGUUGGGACUGAGAUACGGCCCAGACUCCUACGGGAGGCAGCAGUGGGGAAUAUUGCACAAUGGGCGAAAGCCUGAUGCAGCGACGCCGCGUGAGGGAUGACGGCCUUCGGGUUGUAAACCUCUUUCGCUCAUGGUCAAGCCGCAGCUUUGGGUUGUGGUGAGGGUAGUGGGUAAAGAAGCGCCGGCUAACUACGUGCCAGCAGCCGCGGUAAUACGUAGGGCGCGAGCGUUGUCCGGAAUUAUUGGGCGUAAAGGGCUUGUAGGCGGUUGGUCGCGUCUGCCGUGAAAUCCUCUGGCUUAACUGGGGGCGUGCGGUGGGUACGGGCUGACUUGAGUGCGGUAGGGGGAGACUGGAACUCCUGGUGUAGCGGUGGAAUGCGCAGAUAUCACGAAGAACACCGGUGGCGAGGCGGGUCUCUGGGCCGUUACUGACGCUGAGGAGCGAAAGCGUGGGGAGCGAACAGG
rnacentral:rRNA from 1 species